UACGGAGGGUGCAAGCGUUAAUCGGAAUUACUGGGCGUAAAGCGUGCGUAGGCGGUUCGUUAAGUCUGUUGUGAAAGCCCGGGCUCAACCUGGGAAUGGCAAUGGAUACUGGCGAGCUAGAGUGUGUCAGAGGAUGGUGGAAUUCCCGGUGUAGCGGUGAAAUGCGUAGAGAUCGGGAGGAACAUCAGUGGCGAAGGCGGCCAUCUGGGACAACACUGACGCUGAGGCACGAAAGCGUGGGGAGCAAACAGG
rnacentral:rRNA from 1 species